rnacentral:tRNA from 1 species
GUAGCUCAGUCGGUAGAGCAGAGGAUUGAAAAUCCUCGUAUCGGCGGUUCGAUUCCGUCCCUGGGCACCA